GGUAAGAAGGGGCCGGGGGCCUCGGUUAUAGUGAGGGGUGAAGCGUGUAGUGGGAUGAGUGGGCGUAAGGGUGGCGCAGGCGGUUUCGUAAGUCUGGCGUGAAAGCCCCGGGCUUAAGCGGGGAGUGGCGAUGGAGACUGCGAGGCUAGAGUUUGGCAGAGGGGGGUAGAAUUCCACGUGUAGCAGUGAAAUGCGUAGAGAUGUGGAGGAACACCGAUGGCGAAGGCAGCCCCCUGGGUCAAAACUGACGCUCAUGCACGAAAGCGUGGGGAGCAAACAGGAUUAGAUACCUGAGUAGUC
rnacentral:rRNA from 1 species